rnacentral:rRNA from 1 species
UACGUAGGGUGCGAGCGUUGUCCGGAAUUACUGGGCGUAAAGAGCUUGUAGGCGGUUCGUCGCGUCGCUCGUGAAAACUCACGGCUCAACUGUGGGCGUGCGGGCGAUACGGGCGGACUAGAGUACUGCAGGGGAGACUGGAAUUCCUGGUGUAGCGGUGAAAUGCGCAGAUAUCAGGAGGAACACCGGUGGCGAAGGCGGGUCUCUGGGCAGUAACUGACGCUGAGAAGCGAAAGCGUGGGUAGCGAACAGG